GUGGGGAAUCUUCCGCAAUGGACGAAAGUCUGACGGAGCAACGCCGCGUGAGUGAAGAAGGUUUUCGGAUCGUAAAGCUCUUUCGUUAGGGACGAACGUGCUCUUUGUGAAUAAUGAGGAGUAAUGACGGUACCUAAAUAAGAAGCCACGGCUAACUACGUGCCAGCAGCCGCGGUAAUACGUAGGUGGCAAGCGUUGUCCGGAAUUAUUGGGCGUAAAGCGCGCGCAGGCGGGAUAUCAAGUCUGUCUUAAAAGUGCGAGGCUCAACCUCGUGAGGGGACAGAAACUGGUAUUCUUGAGUGUCGGAGAGGAAAGUGGAAUUCCAAGUGUAGCGGUGAAAUGCGUAGAGAUUUGGAAGAACACCAGUGGCGAAGGCGACUUUCUGGACGAUGUCUGACGCUGAGGCGCGAAAGCUAGGGGAGCGAACGGGAUUAGAUACCCGUGUAGUCA
rnacentral:rRNA from 1 species